GUCCUGCUCCAGCAGAGGAAUCACACCCCUCCUCCCAGAACUAGGGAGCUGGGCUGUGGGCCCUUGCUUGCCUCAACCUCCUAGAGCACCACUCCCACUGCUCCUCAUACCUCAGGGCCCAAUGUGUUUGUGGGGACUGGGGCCCCUCUGGCUCUGGUGAUAGGUGCUGCUGCUCUGGUUUGUGCGCACUGACCUCCAUCCCCUCAUCAUCCUCCGUCACCCUGCACCUCUGGAGGAGCUCCAUAAAACUGUAGAAUCAUAAAAUUGUACAGCUGGAAGAGACCCCAAGUAUCAUCUAAUCCCAACCCCCUGCAAUGCAGGAACGUCAGCUAAAGCAUUCAUGAGAGAUGGCCAUCCAGCCUCUGCUUAAGAACCUCCCAUGAAGGAGAGUCCACCACCUUCCUUCAAGAAUUGAUUGCUCCUGCUAUUUUCAACCGUAGAUGAAAAUUAAGAAUGACUUUCCAUAGCCCUUGAUGUUAAGAGUCAUUUCCUCUAACAUAAAAGACAUGAGCUAAAAGGGAGCCCUUGCUUGAAGUGGCAUGACUUGAAAAUCAAACUCAUUCACCCCGUUCUUCUGAAAUAUGAUUAAACACUGAUUAUUGUGAAGACUCCACCCCACCCCCUGGCCACCAGUCUCUUCCUGAUAUCCUCUUCCACAGGGUUUGCACUGAAGUAGGAGGCCUGAAAAGCAAGCAUGCCUAGACAUAUAGUUUCCUGAGGGCAAGCCUUAAGAUGCUUCAGAGUGUCAAUUAAUAUAAAAUAGAACCUUUAUGACCACCACAAGGCUGUUAUCUGCCAAAGGAUAGAAAAGUAGCCGUCAACCAGCAAAAGAGGGUAUCAUUAGAAAAACCUGGGAACAACUAAGCUUGAUUAAAUUGUCAGCAAUGUUAAAGAAAAAGGAUAAUUACCAAGAAUAAAUUAAGUCAGUUAACAGCCUAUGCAAAAAGAGAAGCCAUUACUUCUUUACAUUUUUCCAGUUAUAGUUGCAAUUGGUACUUUACUUCCCCAAGAGGAUGUCCUAGACUGUCUUCAUAUGACAAACAGUGUAGUAAGAGUUAUGUCUCCAGCAUGAGUCUUCCUGGAAUCAUCACGCUUGUGAGACGGGUUCCAUGCCUUGAUGCUCAUGCAUUAGUUACCCUCCCCUUUUAUUUAAGAAAAACCACAUGCCAGCCACAGCCAUUUGCCUACUCAGCAGGGGGGAGCCCUCGGUUUCCCCAGCUGAAAACAAAUCCCACCACUAGCAACCUCAGCCUUAUCGGAAUUUGGUCCGAUAAUCUGGGAACGUGGAGUUACAGGGCUUUGAAUUAAAACACCCUCUUAAAAUGGUUUCUGAAAUCUGCUCUAUUUACGAGUUGUGAAAAGUUGCCUCAUACUGUCUAGUCAUAACAUUAAACGCCAGAGACAAAAUGCAGAAAAGGGAAUUCCUUUCUUCACAAAAACACUCACUGCGUGCUUCUGACAGGCCAACUGCUUUUGAGUUAGGACAUGAGCUGGCAUGGCACUUUUUGUUUCAAAGGGAGACAGAAAAUGAAAGGGAAUUCAAAAUGAAGCAGAGCAAAUUUAUGUUCUUCAAUGGGGAUACAGGAAUCUGCGCAUGUUUAAAGCAGGCUUUAGUGCCACCAUCCUUUGCAAACACUGUGUGCGCAUUAUCUAAAUGAUACCGA